CUACCUUGGAGGGAUGCUAGCCUUUAAAUACUCUUCCAUGUGGCUGACAUCUGCAGGAAGGAACAUCUUCUUUUCUGUCAACCGGAAGGGAACACUGCAGGCAUCCACAACAAGGAGGAGAACACCCGCACUCCUGAAGAACCUGUCCAUCAUUUCACUGGAAUAUCUCACCUUGAACCCAUGAUCCAACUCCGUAUAACUUUCCAGAACACUGAUUCUCUUUAGCAUCCCUCCCCAUCCUCCCUGCUGCUCUUUUUUCAUGGGCUUCUUUGCAACUCACUGGCAAUCGGAGGCUGGGCCUGAAGAACUCUUACCAGGAACACGAUGUGAACUCAGGACUGAAGGCAGAGUGCAGAAUUAGUAUCCCCAUCCUGCUUCCACUAAAGAAGACGUGGAAGAUGCUGAGGAAGAAGAGGAAACAGACAUCUAUUUACUUGAUAUUUUUCCCACCUCUCUAAUGUGAACUCAUUCAUCUUUAUAC